AGCUGUAGUAAUAGUAGUAGGCCACCACCCCCAUGGAUCAUAAUAAUGUAUAUGAGCACCCAUAAUAUCCAGCACCACCAAUCUACAUUUAUUACGCAUCUCCAAUUCAUCCUUCCCUAUUGACACCAUCUGUUUCAGACGGAUUUACGAUUUUUCGGAUUUGAUUGCCAAACCUAUUUACCGCUGGUUUCCUAGUAUAUCUCUCUUUUUAUUGGCUGAUGUAGGAUGGUUUAGCUGUUUCAUACACCUCGUUUAAUAUAAGCAUUUCGGUGGAGUUUUGUACCAAUGAAGGAAGGAGAAAGACACCUACACCAUUUUCCAAGGCAUCAUACUUUUCCCCCCAUGUUCACCAAACUAUAGUGGUGUUUGGUUAUCAUUCAAACGAGCUCUCAAUUUUAUGCCAUCAUGUGUACCAGAAAACCCACUUAGUGGUAGUUCCCAA
rnacentral:lncRNA from 1 species